UCCAUUCUGACCCAAAACAUGGUAUGAUUCUAAAAUUUUCAUAGAAAUAAUGACUUGUACAGAUACUUUGAAACCUUUUAAAGUUGAUUAGUACAUUACUAGAAUGCAUGUGAACAAGAGAAAUGCUACAUCACUUGCAAAAAUGUUAAUGCACAUCCUUCUGAUAUUCACUACUGAUCAGUGAAAUAAUUAUUAUGAUAGCCUUACAGAAAAACUGUUAGGAUGAAACAUCAGAGGAACCAAAGAAUAAGAAAAUCAGAAAAAAAUUAUGUUGUUUGGCCACUUUUCUAACCAUCUGUUUUCUCUAUUGUUUUGACAAUGGUCAUUUAACCCAGCUCCUUUGGCCUCUGCACCUCUCUGGCUGAACACAAAUCUUACCUCAGCUGCAAAAUUAGAAAAAAACCCAAAGUAACUGAAUUUCACUCGGAAAACGGAUUGUGUUCCUUCUGCUGGAAUUAAAGAACAGAGAAGAAGAGCUAUUGCAAGGUGCUGCCUUGGUAUGAAGAUUACUUACCAUUAGGCUCAGAGAAGGCAAGCUUUUCAGUGGCUUCUUAUCUAGAGAGUUUCAUAUCAAAAGCAGUGGAAAUAAACAGGUCCAACAAGAUUUGAGGUUUAUCUCGAUAGAUCUGUUCUUCACUGAGUUUUAAACCAAACUCCUUGCAUGCAAACUUGGAACUGGGAUAGAGAAGAGGAGGAAAAUAAAUACCUUCAAAUUGGCUAGAUAAAACAAAACAACAAAUCAAUUUGGUUAAUUAAAAUAUCCAAGAUUUUUAAUUUGUACUGAUCUUUUUACUGGCUCUGGGAAGUGGAAAACAUCUGUAAUGCAACACACACUGCCAUUCUGCCCUGGGCAGAUGGGGAGUGACUCCAAUGAGAAUUACUUUCUGCCCUGCUUUACACAGCCACACAAAGUCACUGAAGAACCAAGAAAUGGUUCCAGGUUUCCACACGUCUCCAUGCAUGCCUCCUGCUUCCCUCUUAGCUGAAAUACAAAAGCAAUCUUCCCCAGUUACUUUCUUACUUCCAUUUUAUGAAUGUUGCCAAAAUUCUUAGAGUUGAAUCAAAAUAUUAAUAAAAUACUUCCUGAUUUC